ensembl:lncRNA
UUGGAUUCCAUUUUGCCCUUUUCUAGCUCCUUCCACUCCUCCCUUCCCCCCCAUUGUUUUGUGACUGUGAAAAGCUAUCAUCCUGUUACCUUAAUAAGAGAGUUCGUUUGAGGACUGUUUGUUUUGUAACCACCAAAAAAACAAACAAAAAAACAUGGGGACAAAAAUUUGAAUCUGUUCAAAACUUAUAUGGGUUUGUCUGAGUUCUAUUAAAUUAUUAUGAAUUUUUUGAAAUUCAUGUUUUUGGAGAUGGUUUUGAGAAGUGGAUGGGGAAACAAUAGUUUUCACCCAGACUAAUGAUUAUUUGAAGAUUUGAUUUUAAUGAGUUAUUUUUUUUUUCACUGCUGUUCAUUUACAGGUUUUGAAAGAUUCAUGAGAAACCUUUGUUCUUUGUCUCAAAGUUUUAGCUAGGGGGAAAAAAAACAAGUCAGAGAAUUGUUCAUCUGCCUAUCUAAACAGCACAGUUAUACUCACAACUCCUAUCUAUCUUAGUUUUCGAAAAAUAAUAUUUACUUCAAGUCACCACUCAGUUAUCUUGCUCAGCAAGCUUUCCUCUUCCUUCUAGUUUUAUUACUAGAAUACAGGGUGAUAUAAAGGAAAAGCAUUGAACUGUGAGCCUCAGAGCAUGGCUUCUUGUUUUGCCUCUAACUUGCAAUGUCACCAGAUCAAGUCUCUUCAACUCUUCGGCCUCUCUUUCCCCAUCUGUAAGUGAGAGUUGCAGGGGGCAAUUAAAUUCUUAAGGAACCCUCCUAGUUAUGUUACCAACAUCACCAUGGCCUUUAGGUUCCCCAUCAGAAACACACACACACACACACACACACACACACACACACACUGCCUUCUCAGAUCCAUGGAUUUUUAGGUAUGGAUUGGGCCUACUUAACAGUAGUUUAAUAAAGAUAUCAGCUAAUUGCUUUCCUACUCCUAUAGCAUUACUUAACUGAUCCUAAUAACACUUUAGAAAUUAAGAGUAAAAAGGAUAUUCUUUGCCAAAUUUAUUCAAAUAUUUCCCAAGCACCCACCCAUAUUUCUACAUUCAGUUUCAUUUUUUUUGUGCAGAGAAUCGAGUAUUCCUAUCAAUGAAAGGUAAGUAGAACAAGAAUUAUCAUCCCUGUUUUUUUUUUUUUAAAGAAUUGAAGAUUAGAGAAAUAAAAUAAAACUUAGAAAUAAUUUCUAAAGGCUUAAAGAAAUAAAAUUGGUCACAGUCAGACAGCCAAUGUUAAGUUUCAGAGCCAAGAGCCCUGGUUUGUAGGCUCCCAGUCCUUCCAUUAUACCAUGCUGCCUUUCCAUUCCUAUUUGGAUGAUGGCACAUUGUCUUUAAUGCCUACAAUAUGACACUCUAAUAAUUAAAUGGCUUAUAUUUAUAUAGUGCUUUGUCGUUUACAAAGUAUUUUAUACACAUGAUCUUUUAUUAUCUCAAUAACCUGUGAAAGAGGCAGGACAAAUAUCUUCAGUUUGCACAUGAAGAAACAGACUCAAGACAGAUAAACUGCUAGCUGGAUAAUCUUGGUUAAGUACUAGAAGAGGGUCUUGGUUCUUUGACUCUUACAUCCAAGGUUUUUCCACUGUAACACCUCCUACCUCCCAGUUCCAGCAGCAUUUAGGAGAGAGUUUUGUCUCUGUGGAAAUGAAUGAUCUCAAGCUUAGCUUCAAAGUUCUACAUAUACCCAAAGUAUCAUCUGAGAACCCCACUCAAAGGCUGAGAGAGAAGAGUAUGAAUGUAGUUGUUGGGUUUAAAAAUGUCUUGGUGACCAGAGAAAAAUGACUUGUCUAGAUCUGCAUAAUGUUCAAAGACCUCUUCCUGAGGAAAUUGUAGUGGAAAAACAUUAGACCAGGCAUCAAGAUACCUGGGUUCUAGUUCUUUGUUUUAUGACCUUGGACAAAUUAGUUCUCACUUCUGGGACUCAGUUUCUGCUUCUAUAAAAUGAGAGAACUGGACUGGGUGAUCUCAAAGUCCAUUUCAUUGCCAACAUAUUCAGUAAGAGGUAUCUUAACACUCCUGCAAUCUACAUUGUAAGGUUGAAAAAGUGAAGGAUCAAUUACUAAUGGAAUUACAGAAUUAAUUCCAUAAGGAAUUUCCUUCUUAAGUCUGCUAGCAUACCCUCCCAGGGGAGUCAAAGCUUAUUUGAAUCUCAUGUAUCUUUAACCUCAUUAUAGAAAGAGAUGUAUCUGAAGAAAUGUGUUCAAUGUGACAGAGGUGAAGGGUGGGUAAUGUUUACAGCACCCUGACAGUUCUUCCAGACAUAACCGCAUGCCCCCUUGCUUUAUUCUGUUGAAGGCUGGGGGAAUUACAAGCUCUGUUAUAAAUGAAGUGUUGUUUUCCUUUAUUAGAUGUGUGACAAUAAAAAUUUUCACCCUGGGGUCUGAAAGUAGAAUUGUGACUUUGUUUAAGCUACCAUAACUCCAUCAGGUCAAUAUCUUCCUUGUUGCAGAUGAUUUUCCUAUUGUGAGACCAGGGUGUGUUAUGGAUAUUGCUUGUGAAACUUUGCACUUUUUCCUAAGCAUUUGUGUAUGGAUUAUUUUCGUGGUUUUAGCUGAAUAAAG